AUUGAACGCUGGCGGUAUGCUUAACACAUGCAAGUCGAACGAGUGGCGGACGGGUGAGUAAUGCAUAGGAAUCUACCUUUUAGUCUAGGAUAACUACCCGAAAGGGUGGCUAAUACUGGAUGCUCAGAGAUGAGCCUAUGGGGGAUUAGCGAGUUGGUGGGGUAAUGGCUCACCAAGGCGACGAUCUCGAUCUGGUUUGAGAGGAUGAUCAGCCACACGGGGACUGAGACACGGCCCAGACUCCUACGGGAGGGAGAAGUGGGGAAUAGUGGAACAUGGGCGAAAGCCUGAUCCAGCAAUACCGCGGGUGUGAAGAAGGCCCUAGGGUUGUAAAGCACUUUUGUUAGGGAGAUGUUACCUAAAGAAUAAGCACCGGCUAACUCCGUGCCAGCAGCCGCGGUAAUAC
rnacentral:rRNA from 1 species